CCGCAAGGUUGAAACUCAAAAGAAUUGACGGGGGCCCGCACAAGCGGUGGAGCAUGUGGUUUAAUUGGAAGCUACGCGAAGAACCUUACCAGGUCUUGACAUCUUCUGACAGUCUAAGAGAUUAGAGGUUCCCUUCGGGGACAGAAUGACAGGUGGUGCAUGGUUGUCGUCAGCUCGUGUCGUGAGAUGUUGGGUUAAGUCCCGCAACGAGCGCAACCCUUAUUACUAGUUGCCAGCAUUAAGUUGGGCACUCUAGUGAGACUGCCGGUGACAAACCGGAGGAAGGUGGGGACGACGUCAAAUCAUCAUGCCCCUUAUGACCUGGGCUACACACGUGCUACAAUGGAUGGUACAACGAGUCGCGAGACCGCGAGGUUAAGCUAAUCUCUUAAAACCAUUCUCAGUUCGGACUGUAGGCUGCAACUCGCCUACACGAAGUCGGAAUCGCUAGUAAUCGCGGAUCAGCAUGCCGCGGUGAAUACGUUCCCGGGCCUUGUACACACCGCCCGUCACACCAUGAGAGUUUGUAACACCCAAAGCCCGGUGGGGUAACCUUUUAGGAGCUAGCCG
rnacentral:rRNA from 1 species